GGAGUGGCGGUUCGCAUCUUACCGGGCAGCAUUAGAGUCUUACCGUUAUUUUCUAAUACUGUCAGGUAAAGAUGUCGUCCGCGCUCC
rnacentral:pre_miRNA from 1 species